rnacentral:piRNA from 1 species
UGAUUCGACUGGAAGGCAGCUAGGCA